UACAGAGGGGGCAAGCGUUGUUCGGAAUUACUGGGCGUAAAGGGCGCGUAGGCGGCCUUCUAAGUCGAACGUGAAAUCCCCGGGCUCAACCUGGGAACUGCGUCCGAUACUGGCAGGCUUGAAUUCGGGAGAGGGAUGCGGAAUUCCAGGUGUAGCGGUGAAAUGCGUAGAUAUCUGGAGGAACACCGGUGGCGAAGGCGGCAUCCUGGACCGAGAUUGACGCUGAGGCGCGAAAGCCAGGGGAGCAAACGGG
rnacentral:rRNA from 1 species